AGGAAUGCGCAUGCGCUGAGUCACCCAACGAUUUGGGUUGGCGGAAAAGUAAUGGCGGUUUUUGCCCUUCCUUUUUUUUUUUUUUUUCCUUGAGACGGCGUCUCGCUCUGUCGCCCAGACUGCAGUGUAGUGGCGCCAUCUUGGCUCACUGCAAGCUCCGCCUCCCGGGUUCACGCCGUUCUCCUGCCUCAGCCUCCCAAGUAGCUGGGACUACAGGCGCCCGCCACCAAGCCCGGCUAAUUUUUGUAUUUUUGGAACCUUUUGUAUUUUAGAACCUUGAAAACGUUAUGUUAAGUGAAAUAAGCCAGACAUAAAAGGACAAAUACUGUAUGAUUCCAGUUAUAUGAGGUACCCAGAUUAGGCAGAUUCACAGGGAUGGAAAGUAAAAUAGAGGUUGCCAGGGUCUGGGGUACAGAGGAAACGGGAAGUUACUGCUUGAUGGGCACAGAGUUUCUGUUUGGGAUGAAGAGAAAGCUCUGGAAAUAGUGGAAGGUCCACAGAUGAUGCUCCUUCUCACGGAUGCGAGGCCAUCAAAUCACUUUUUGUCUCCGCUGCUCUCUCUCCAUCGUGGAUAGCCAUCAUGGUUUCUCAGGAGGGAAAGGACACAACUGGAAUCUACGGUCUCUAUUUUCCCGUUGCGAGAUUUCAGCGGAGAGCCUGGUGGCACUUACAGCAGACAUCACAGAUGCCUCAGCGUUUCGGAUGAGGACAGUAAAGACCUUCCUUGCUUCAUAAAACCUUCGUUUUCCAGGGGAGAAAACACAGGUUGAGUCUAAACCCAGUCCUCCUGUUGAAAUAUUUUAAUGACGCUGAAAGAGGCUGUUGCGUUUGGCAGGUGCGUGUGGAGCUGUGUGGCCCUGCACUGAAGCCCUGCAGUCCUGACUUGAGUGGAGCUACAGGAGAAUUAUGUUAAUGUGUUUGCACUACUCGCUCAGUUGUAUGGAGCUACAGGAGAAUUAUGUUAAUGUGUUUGCACUACUCGCUCAGUUGUAAAAAGUUACAAAUAUAUUUAAUGAGGGUAAAAUAGUUUAACAAUGUUUACACACCUAUUUUAGUUAUUACAUUCUCUAAGCUAUUUUUAUCCUCACAACCAUGGAAGCACUCCGCCAUCUCCAUUUCAGAAAGUAGACAAUAACUGAAAAAAAACUGUCUACUUUUUAAAAACAUGAUUUACUUCAUUAUGAAAGUUCAUAGUUUGUGUAAUUAAUACCUGUUUGUGGUCUGCGUUCAGUGGGUGUUGGCAUCUGCACACUGUCGUGGGUCCACUGUUGUGGUGAAAUCGCACACAGUGAUCUCACUGCCCUAAACAUCCGGGGCUCUCUGCCCAUCCAUCCUUUCCUCUCCCCAACCCCUGUCGACCACUGAUUAUCUUACUAUCUAUGUAAUUUUCCCUUUUCCAAAAUGUCACGUAAUUACAUAGAUAUUUUACUCUCUAUGUAGUUUUUCCUUUUCCAAAAUGUCACAUAAUUGGAAUCAUACAGUAUGUAGCCUUUUUGGCUUCUUUCACUUAGUAAUGUGCAUUUUGGGUCCCUGUAUGCCUUUUCAUGACUUGAUAGCUCAUUUCUUUUCUCACUGAAUGAUAUUCCACUGUCUGUAGGUACCAGAAUUUAUUUCUCAAUUCACCUACUGAAGGACAUGUUGGUCACCUCGUUUCUGGUAAUUCUGAAUAAAGCUUCUAUGUAGGUGCCAGCCCUACAGGGUUUGUGGGUUUUUUCUCCCCAUGUGCAGAGAUGAGAGAUUGUAGAAAAAGAGACACAAGACAAAGAGAUAAAAGAAAAGACAGCUGGGACCGGGGGACCACUACCACCAAGACGCAGAGACCGGUAGUGGCCCCGAAUGCCAGGCUGCGCUGUUAUUUAUUGGAUACAAAGCAAAAGGGGCAGGGUAAAGACUGUGAGUCAUCCAACUGAUUGAUAAGGUCACGGAGUCACGUGUCCACCAGACAGGGGGUCCUUCCCUGUUUGGCAGCCGAGUCAGAGAGACAGAGAGGACAGCUUAUGCCAUUAUUUUUUCUAUGCUCUUUUCAGAAAGAUCAAAGACUUUAAUACUUUCACUAAUUUGCUACUGCUAUCUAGAAGGCACAGCCAGGUGUGCAGAGUGGAACAUGAGAGUGGACCAGGAGCGUGACCACUGAAGCACAGCAUCACAGGGAGACGGUUAGGCCUCCGGAUAACUGCAGGCGGGCCUGACUCAUGUCAGGCCCUCCACAAAAGAUGGAGGAGUAGAGUCUUCUCUAAACUCCCCUGGGGAAAGGGAGACUCCCUUUUCCGGUCUGCUAGGUAGCGGGUGUUUUUCCUUGACACUGACGCUACCACUAGACCACAGUCCGCUUGGCAACGGGCGUCUUCCCAGGCACUGGCGUUACCGCUAGACCAAGGAGCCCUCUGGUGGCCCGGUCCGGCCAUAACAGAAGGCUCACACCCUUGUCUUCUGGUCACUCAUCACUAUGUCCCCUCAGCUCCUAUCUCUGUAUGGCCUGGCUUUUCCUGGGUUAUGAUUAUAGAGCAAGGGUUAUUAUAAUAUUGGAAUAAAGAGUAAUUGCUACAAACUAAUGAUGAAUGAUAUUCAUAGAUAAUCAUGUCUAUGAUCUAGAUCUAGUAUAACUCUUGUUAUUUUACAUAUUUUAUUACACUGGAACAGCUCGUGCCCUCGGUCUCUUACAUCGGCACCUGGGUGGCUUGCUGCCCACAUUUCUAUAAACAUUUGUGUGCAAGUUUGUGUGUGGAUAUAACUCUUCAACUCCAUUGGGUAAAUAAUGAGGAGCACAAUUGUUAAAUCUUAUGACAAGACUACGUGAGCUUUGUAAAAACUGCCAAACUGUCUUCCAAAGUGGCUGUGCCAUUUUGCAUUCCCACAGCAAUGAAUGAGAGUUCUCUUUGCUCCACAUCCUCACCAGCAUUUGGUGCUUUCAUUCUUGUGGAUUUUGGCCAUUCUAACAGGUGUGUAGUGGUAUCUUAUUGCGUCUUAAUUGGCAAUUCCUAAUAACAUUAUAUACAGCAUCUUUUCAUAUACUUAGUUUCCAUCUGCAGAUCUGUUCAGCUUUUGCCCAGUUUUGUUUGUUUUCUCAUUGUUGAGUUUUAAGAGUUCUUUGUGUAUUUCAGAUAUGAAUCCUUAGAUAUAUUUUGCAAAUAUUUUCUCGCAGUCUGUGAUUUAUCUUUUUAUUCUCUUAACAGUAUCUUUUGAAAACAAAAGUUUUUCAUGUUGAUGAAAUUAAACUUCCCAAUUUUUUUCUUUGUGGAUCAUGCUUUUGGUGUUGUAUCUGAAAAAAAAAAACACCAAAUCCAAAGUUAUCUAGAUUUUUUUUCCUUAUGUUAUCUUCUAGAAGUUUAAAAAUUUUACAUUUCAUAUAUUGGUCUAAUAUCUACUUUGCAUUAACUUUUGUAAAAAGUAUAAGGUCUGUUACAUAUUCUUUUUUUUUUGCAUGUGGAUGCCCACUUGUUCCAGAACCAUUUGUUAAAAAGACUCUCCUUUCUCCAUUGAAUUGCUUUUGCUCCUUUGUCAGAAAUCAGUUGGCUGCAUUUCAUUCUGUUUCUGGGUUCUCUGUUCUGUUUCACUGAUGUAUGUGUAUGUGUCUUCUGUUUUGCCUUCAAUUUAAAAAAAUAUCUAAAUAUCUACUUGCUACCUCAAUUUGCUGAUGAAUUCUCAUUUGUAAACAGAAAAGCAUAAAUUAAAGCCUGAGUAUCUUUUGGGGUAGAUGUUGCAUUGAAUACAAUGAGCAGAAUGAGUUAUAAUCUUAAAGUGAAUAUAAAAAUUUGACCAUAGUGGUAACAGAUUUGUGCACUGGUGACAUCAAUGACAGAGUCCAUUGCAAUAUUGCUUCCUCCCGUAGGCUCAGCUCUGCUUCACACCAGGUAACUACCAGUCCCUUUUGUGCUUCAUUCAAGGAUUUCUGUGGGGUGGAAAGCAGAAAUAUCAUGAGCUCAGUGGAGAGAGAGAAGGCAGUUUUCCAGGCUGGGAGCAGUCAGAUCUCCAGUGGGUCCCAACACUGCUCUGUAGCAGUGCCUAGAAGGUGAUGGAAACAGGGUGAACAUGAGGUGGGUGCUGGCCCCGGGGUUCCCAGUGUUACCAGGUUCCCAUGGUCUAUAAGACGCCCGGAAAUGAGAUCUUCUGGGCUUUGGGGGCCCCUGUGGAAUUGGAAAAUAAGGAAGUGAGCAGUGACAAUCUAGACUGGUUAUUAGAGGUGCAUCUCCCAUUUUUCAGAAGCCAAGGAGCCCUUGAUUAGUGAAAUUGUGGCCCCGCAACAAUGGUGGAGUGGAGUGUCCUGCCAUUCUGGAGGGGAGAUGGCUCAGGGUCAAGACUGAACUCAUUAGAAAAUACAAGAAGUUUUUUUGUUUUUUUUUUGCUAUCUGAGUUUGUGAAUGAAGAGCUACACUGCUGUGAAAUGUGCAGAUCAUUGGCUACUUUUUCUCAUGUGCAUUCCAGGAGUAUCAAGUCCAAAAUGAAGCUCUUCAAACCAUCUGGGAAGAGAAAACAGCAUGACAAGGAAAGGUGUAUUUGUCUGAUCCCAGGAAUCAAUAUAAACAUCAAUGAUAACCCCACCUAUUUUUUUAAAUGUAUGAUUUGGAUGAAACAAGAGAAAGAAAGUGAUUGUUGCUGAGUUCCUGCUGCAGUCCUGACACAGCUCUCCUUAUUUUGUUGAUGCUCAUGAGGGCCCUGAUGUCUGAGGAAGAAGGUUCUCGUCCAGCUCUGCCCCUGGUGUGUCACAUGCUGGCCUUGUCAACGCACAUGAGAACCUGACAGGGUGAGUGUUAUAACCCAAUUAUAGAAAAGGAAACUGGCUCUAAAGUGUUUAGCAUCUUGCCCAAGUUCUGACACUUAGCAGAGGCCUGAGUUUAAAUACAGCCUCGUCUUGCUCUUCGACAGCCUCAGCACCACAUGCCCUGGGUGGCCCACGCAGUGAGUCACUGACAGCCCUCGUGGUUGGCCCGUGGCACAGCAUGGAGCGAAAUGGUCCAGUGACCUUUUCAGACACUUGGGCAAUUCGUGGUAUAGUGUAUGCGUUCACUCCCAGUGAGUCCUAUUGUUCAGUUUAAUAGAAUAUCUAAUUCUAUGUUUAUUCUGAAUAAAGGGAAAUUUCUUGUGGUUUUUAAGAAUAUGAAGCAUAUCUAUUUGGCUACAAGUUGGAAGUUCCGAUACUGUAGGAAGCAUAAGUGCAGGUUAUAAUGAUGGGUCUUUUAUAAGACUGAAUUCACAUCAAACUGAAUCAGUAACUCCAGCUGCAUGAACAGGGUGAGACAUUAAACAUUUAAUGAAAACAAUUCCUUUCUUAGGUCACAGCAAGGACUAAAUAUGUCCAAUUAUCAUGCCCACUAAGAAGAUGUAUUGUAAUAUUUGCAGUUAAUCACUCAUUCACUUCAAAGGGUGUUUAUUAAUUGUCUGCUCUGGGCAUAACAUUAAUUGGAAGCAGUGUGAUCACAUGGAAACAAAACUUACCUGAGACUCUAAGUCACAACUUUCCAUGACCAGCACACGUUUCUAAUUUGAAAUACAUAUCUAAAGCUUCAAAUGCAUAAAUAGGUAUCCCAAUCUAGAACUAAGUCAAUAGUUGCUUUGAAUUAAUUGUUUAAAUUAUCCUGGGAAUCGGAAAGAUAUGUCUCCAUGAAACAAUAAAGGCUGUGUUAGAAUUAGUAAACUUUAGAAUACCACUUUAAUCCUAAUAUAUAAACAUACUACCUAGGCACACUGUUUAAAUACAUCUGCAACCUACUAUUUUUAGAUUUAAGAAAAUCAUUAAACCUUAAAUUUGGAAAAGAUUCCAGUGUUAGACCUCUAGGCUAUGAAACUUGAAUGUUUUUCUAAACUUUUUGAGUUUUAUCCAGAAAUACAGAUUUUCCUGGCACUGACAACUGCAAGAAAUUUCACUUGGAGUCUCCACAUAGUCAACCAUGUGAUGUUAACAUCAGUGUAAUAGAUACUAUCACAAACAUCCUGUGACUUUUAUAUUUUUUUUAUACUUUAAGUUCUGGGAUACAUGAGCAGAACGUGCAGGUUUGUUACACAGCUAUACACGUGCCAUGGUAGUUUGCUGCACCCAUCAACGCAUCAUCUACAUUAGGUGUUUCUCCUAAUGCUAUCCCUCUCCUAGGCCCCCACCCGCCCUGACAGGUCCCAGUGUGUGAUGUUCUCCUCCCUGUGUCCAUACGUUCUCAUUGUUCAAUUCCCACUUAUGAGUGAGAACGUGUGGUGUUUGGUUUUCUGUUCCUGUGUUAGUUUGCUGAGAAUGAUGGUUUCCAGUGUCAUCCAUGUCCCUGCAAAGGACAUGAACUCAUCCUUUUUUAUGGCUGCAUAGUAUUCCGUGGUUUAUAUGUGCCACAUUUCUUUAUCUAGUCUAUCACUGAUGGGCAUUUGGGUUGGUUGCAAUGCUUUGCUGUUGUGAAUAGUGCUGCAAUAAACAUACGUGUGCAUGUGU